rnacentral:rRNA from 1 species
UUUGACAUGUACGGAAUUUGCCAGAGAUGGCUUAGUGCUCGAAAGAGAACCGUAACACAGGUGCUGCAUGGCUGUCGUCAGCUCGUGUCGUGAGAUGUUGGGUUAAGUCCCGCAACGAGCGCAACCCUUGUCAUUAGUUGCUACAUUUAGUUGGGCACUCUAAUGAGACUGCCGGUGACAAACCGGAGGAAGGUGGGGAUGACGUCAAGUCCUCAUGGCCCUUAUAGGUGG